rnacentral:rRNA from 1 species
UGUAUGGUUAAGUGACUAAGCGUACACGGUGGAUGCCUGGGCAGUCAGAGGCGAUGAAGGACGUACUAACUUGCGAUAAGCGCAGAUAAGGCAGUAAGAGCCGUUUGAGUCUGCGAUUUCCGAAUGGGGAAACCCAACUGCAUAAGCAGUUACUGUUAACUGAAUACAUAGGUUAACAGAGCAAACCGGGGGAACUGAAACAUCUAAGUACCCCGAGGAGAAGAAAUCAACCGAGAUUCCGGUAGUAGCGGCGAGCGAACCUGGAUUAGCCCUUAAGCACUCGGUGAAGUAGGUGAACAAGCUGGAAAGCUUGGCGAUACAGGGUGAUAGCCCCGUAACCGACGCUUCAUCGAGCGUGAAAUCGAGUAGGGCGGGACACGUGAUAUCCUGUCUGAAUAUGGGGGGACCAUCCUCCAAGGCUAAAUACUCCUGACUGACCGAUAGUGAACCAGUACCGUGAGGGAAAGGCGAAAAGAACCCCUGUGAGGGGAGUGAAAUAGAACCUGAAACCGUGUACGUACAAGCAGUAGGAGCACCUUCGUGGUGUGACUGCGUACCUUUUGUAUAAUGGGUCAGCGACUUAUAUUCAGUGGCAAGGUUAACCGUAUAGGGGAGCCGUAGCGAAAGCGAGUCUUAACUGGGCGCUCAGUCUCUGGAUAUAGACCCGAAACCGGGUGAUCUAGCCAUGGGCAGGUUGAAGGUUGAGUAACAUCAACUGGAGGACCGAACCGACUAAUGUUGAAAAAUUAGCGGAUGACUUGUGGCUAGGGGUGAAAGGCCAAUCAAACUCGGAGAUAGCUGGUUCUCCCCGAAAGCUAUUUAGGUAGCGCCUCGGACGAAUACUACUGGGGGUAGAGCACUGUUAAGGCUAGGGGGUCAUCCCGACUUACCAACCCUUUGCAAACUCCGAAUACCAGUAAGUACUAUCCGGGAGACACACGGCGGGUGCUAACGUCCGUCGUGGAGAGGGAAACAACCCAGACCGCCAGCUAAGGUCCCAAAGUAUUGCUAAGUGGGAAACGAUGUGGGAAGGCUCAGACAGCUAGGAUGUUGGCUUAGAAGCAGCCAUCAUUUAAAGAAAGCGUAAUAGCUCACUAGUCGAGUCGGCCUGCGCGGAAGAUGUAACGGGGCUAAGCAAUACACCGAA